rnacentral:rRNA from 1 species
GAUGAACGCUGGCGGCGUGCCUAAUACAUGCAAGUCGAGCGGACGGACCAGAAGCUUGCUCUUUUGCUGUUAGCGGCGGACGGGUGAGUAACACGUGGAUAACCUUCCUAUAAUACUUGGAUAACUUCGGGAAACCGGAGCUAAUACCGGAUAAUAUUUUGAACCGCAUGGUUCAAAAUUGAUAGACGGCUUUGCUGUCACUUUUCGAUGGAUCCGCGCUGCAUUAGCUAGUUGGUAAGGUAACGGCUUACCAAGGCAACGAUGCAUAGCCGACCUGAGAGGGUGAUCGGCCACACUGGAACUGAGACACGGUCAAGACUCCUACGGGAGGCAGCAGUAGGGAAUAUUCGGCAAUGGGCGAAAGCCUGAGGAAGCAAGGCCGCGUGGGUGAUGAAGGUCUUCGGAUGGUAAAACUCUGUUAUUAGGGAAGAAAAGAUGUGUAAGAAAAUGUGGACGUCGUGACGGUACCUAAAGAGAAAGCCACGGCUAACUACGUG